rnacentral:rRNA from 1 species
CGAACCGAGCGAACGUUGUUCGGAAUCACUGGGCUUAAAGGGCGCGUAGGCGGGCUGUCAAGUCUGGGGUGAAAAUCCCACGGCUCAACCGUGGAACUGCCUUUAGAUACUGACGGCCUCGAGGGAGAUAGGGGCGAGCGGAACUGUGAGUGGAGCGGUGAAAUGCGUUGAUAUUCACAGGAACUCCGGUGCGAAGGCGGCUCGCUGGAUCUUUUCGACGCUGAGGCGCGAAAGCUAGGGGAGCAAACGGG